rnacentral:antisense_RNA from 1 species
CAAGACAAUACCAAUCUCUUGACAUUGAAAAAUACUGUUAAGUUUUAGACUCAAAUCUCAUUCAUAUGUUUACAGUUAGAAAUCUAAACAUUAUGAACUGUUUGACAUUUAAUGAAACCGGCUUUUAAUAUACAUAUCUUAUAAAACUAAUGAAACCUCACUUCAUCUUGUAAAAGAAGAUUUUUUUUUAAGAUUCUUUUUGCUUUACAGACUUACCUUUGGCUGGAUCACCCAGAGUGGUAACAGCACUGCUGCCAACACGGAGUCCACGCUGACAUACCAAUUUUGCCUUUAAACAAAAGAUUACUUUGCUUCAGUCUUUGAAGCAAUGAAAUAAUGCUAUAAUCUGUAAGGUUUUUUUUUUUUUAAAUUUUAUUUUUUAUUAUACAAUAGAGACAGGGUCUCAGUAUGUUGCCCAGGCUGAUCUCAAAUUCCUGGGCUCAAGCAAUCCUCCCACCUCAGCCUCCCAAAAUGCUGAGAUUACAGGCAUGAGGCACAACUGCAUCUGGCCUAAUCCAUAAGCUUUAAAAUAAAUAGUCUGCUCACUGUAGGUAUUCAGGGCACAAAGAAAACUUAUGCAAAGCAAUCUGUAUUUUCAUUAAUGGCCCAAAAUUUUCAUAGAAUUUUACCAUUUCAAUCAACAAAAAUGUCAGGAAAACCAAAGUAAGCAGGGUCACAGAAUAAUUACCUUCCAAGCGACUAUUUCCAAGGAUCUGCUGCGUCUGAAAAAUUAUAGCUAAAAAGUGCUAGGCUUAUAUACCAAAAAUGAUGGGUUUACCUCUUUUAAAACUAAAACAAAACCAUCAUAGUGUGUACCAAGCACCUCACCUCAUUUAAGAAAAUGUCAUUUUUCACCAAAGUCACUUGACUGUACUGAAAACCAUGCUCAGAUGAAGAGUCCAAGUAAGAAGUAUGAAGGAGUGAAACUGCCCUCUGGAAGAGAGAGUC